rnacentral:misc_RNA from 1 species
GAUGAAGAACGCAGCAAAAUGCGUUAAGUAAUGUGAAUUGCAGAAUUCAGUGAAUCAUCGAAUCUUUGAACGCACAUUGCGCCCGCUGGUAUUCCGGCGGGCAUGCCUGUUCGAGCGUCAUUUCAACCCUCAAGCCCCCGGGUUUGGUGUUGGGGAUCGGCUCUGCCCUUCUGGGCGGUGCCGCCCCCGAAAUACAUUGGCGGUCUCGCUGCAGCCUCCAUUGCGUAGUAGCUAACACCUCGCAACUGGAACGCGGCGCGGCCAUGCCGUAAAACCCCAACUUCUGAAUGUUGACCUCGGAUCAGGUAGGAAUACCCGCUGAACUUAAGCAUAUCAAUAAGCGGAGGA